rnacentral:tRNA from 1 species
GGGAGUAUAGCUCAAGUGUAGAGAGCUCGCCUCGCAUGCGAGAAAUCUGGGGUUCGAUUCCCCAUACCUCCA